rnacentral:rRNA from 1 species
GGAGGCAGCAGUGGGGAAUANNNNNCAAUGGGCGAAAGCCUGAUCCAGCAAUGCCGCGUGAGUGAUGAAGGCCUUAGGGUUGUAAAGCUCUUUUACCAGGGAUGAUAAUGACAGUACCUGGAGAAUAAGCUCCGGCUAACUCCGUGCCAGCAGCCGCGGUAAUACGGAGGGAGCUAGCGUUGUUCGGAAUUACUGGGCGUAAAGCGCGCGUAGGCGGUGACUCAAGUCAGAGGUGAAAGCCCGGGGCUCAACCCCGGAACUGCCUUUGAAACUAGGUCGCUAGAAUCUUGGAGAGGCGAGUGGAAUUCCGAGUGUAGAGGUGAAAUUCGUAGAUAUUCGGAAGAACACCAGUGGCGAAGGCGACUCGCUGGACAAGUAUUGACGCUGAGGUGCGAAAGUGUGGGGAGCAAACAGGAUUAGAUACCCUGGUAGUCCACACCGUAAACGAUGAUAACUAGCUGUCCGCGCUCUCCGCGUCCCCGCGGCCCGUGCCCGACCGCACUCCGUCCGCCUG